GUACUCGCUUUGGCAGCACAUAUACUAAAACUGGAAUGAUACAGAGAAGAUUAGUAUGGGCCCUGCCCAAGGAUGACACAAGAAUAAACACUGCAGGGGAAUCAUAA
rnacentral:snRNA from 1 species